rnacentral:rRNA from 1 species
UGCAAGUCGUACGAUGAACCACUUCGGUGGGGAUUAGUGGCGAACGGGUGAGUAACACGUGGGCAAUCUGCCCUGCACUCUGGGACAAGCCCUGGAAACGGGGUCUAAUACCGGAUACUGAUCCUCACGGGCAUCUGUGAGGGUCGAAAGCUCCGGCGGUGCAGGAUGAGCCCGCGGCCUAUCAGCUAGUUGGUGAGGUAAUGGCUCACCAAGGCGACGACGGGUAGCCGGCCUGAGAGGGCGACCGGCCACACUGGGACUGAGACACGGCCCAGACUCCUACGGGAGGCAGCAGUGGGGAAUAUUGCACAAUGGGCGAAAGCCUGAUGCAGCGACGCCGCGUGAGGGAUGACGGCCUUCGGGUUGUAAACCUCUUUCAGCAGGGAAGAAGCGAAAGUGACGGUACCUGCAGAAGAAGCGCCGGCUAACUACGUGCCAGCAGCCGCGGUAAUACGUAGGGCGCAAGCGUUGUCCGGAAUUAUUGGGCGUAAAGAGCUCGUAGGCGGCUUGUCACGUCGGUUGUGAAAGCCCGGGGCUUAACCCCGGGUCUGCAGUCGAUACGGGCAGGCUAGAGUUCGGUAGGGGAGAUCGGAAUUCCUGGUGUAGCGGUGAAAUGCGCAGAUAUCAGGAGGAACACCGGUGGCGAAGGCGGAUCUCUGGGCCGAUACUGACGCUGAGGAGCGAAAGCGUGGGGAGCGAACAGGAUUAGAUACCCUGGUAGUCCACGCCGUAAACGGUGGGCACUAGGUGUGGGCAACAUUCCACGUUGUCCGUGCCGCAGCUAACGCAUUAAGUG